CACCCGAUAGCACAAUGCGUGCGUCUGCCCCAAAUAGCUGAGUGACGCUCAUCUCGUUUGAAAGCAGAAGGUCCCCGUUCGAACCGGGGUCGGGUGA